rnacentral:rRNA from 1 species
CUCCUACGGGAGGCAGCAGUGGGGAAUAGUUGCGCAAUGGGCGAAAGCCUGACGCAGCGACGCCGCGUGGGGGAUGGAAGGCCUUCGGGUUGUAAACCCGUUUCACGCAGGGACGAAGCGAAAGUGACGGUACCUGCAGAACGAAGCGCCGGCUAACUACGUGCCAGGCAGCCGCGGUAAUUC